GACGAGAAGUGCCCUGUUCCCUAUUACACAGCUGGGGAGUGUCAGGGAAGGAUUCAAACCCACUCUGACGGAGGCGAAGGCUGAGGUCUCACCGCCGUACUUUCUUGUCACUAGGGCUCCAUAGAAACCAUUUGGGCUGGAAUUUAGGAGGUGUCUCCUGGCUCGGGGAGGGAGGAUUAGGAGAUGACAAUUUCUGUCUGGGUUUUGCUGCUGACUUAGCUAAGUCACCGUCUGAGAAUCCCACGUCACAGAGUUGACCUUAUGACCAACGCACAAGAUGCCCUGGGAAUCAUCUGGGCAAGUUCAGGGCAUCCGGUGGGCCCCUGCUUGCCCCUCCCACUCCACCCCUCUCCUUCCUUCCUCCCUCCUUCCUCUUCCUUCUCUGGGCCCCUUCUCCUAUCCCCCUGCACCCUGAAACAGCCCUCAGUGUCUAUGGGUUUCUCUUGUAUCUACCUCCUUGUGGUUUGUACCCACCGGCCCCCGCUCUGGCGUUGGCAGCUGCAUGGACUGCUCCCAGGAAGGUGCCCGGAAGUUGGGGGCGCCUCUCAGCUACAAGUCUUCUCCAAGCCACCCAAGUGCCUUCAGGAAUUCCCCACGUGACGUCGUCUCAAGCCUCUUCCUCCUCUUGGCUGCUGCCUUUUGAGCUCGGGGCAGGAAGGUGACCCAAAGCUCAAGAGGGAAGGUAGCUAGCAGCCUGGGUUAAGGAAUCUCCUUCUCCCUCUGGAUUGAGAGGCAAUUAGGUCUUGCGGAAAUCCUGCGGGCUCUGUGGUAAGGGAGACGUGGAUGACAGUCCCGUCCAACAUUGGAUGACCUCACUCAAAGUGGUACAGCAUGUUCUGAGAAGGGAGCAACCCACGUUGCAGAACCAGGCCAGGAGACAGCAGUAUUAUUUGAGUGCCUUCAUUAAGCCGUGGCUGAACUAGAUUCUUUUGACUUUCCAGAAAAUCCCAAGCCUGAUCUUGCCUCAACCUCAUCGUAAUCAUUCAACAACAUCCAAUGGUUACAUAUUGAAUACCUACUAUUUUCCAAGUUCUGGAGAUACAUGCUCAUGGAGCCUAUGUUCCAGUGGGGAGAGACAGGGACAGGAGGCAGGUCACGAAUGAAAGUGGAGUUGGCUUCAAGACCCAAGGUCCACGAGGUUCUCCCUUUACAUACGACUCUGUGCCCCAAACCUGGCCGAGGUGGUUUUGGGGCCUUCAUUCUCCUUGGAAGUAACCACAUUGCAUACAGCUUCAAAAAAGUGGAAGGUUUCCAAGUCUGAAUGAGUGUCUUUGCAGUCCGGCCAUAUGCGGCAAAGGAAACUGAGGCUUGGGAGGCUAAAUAACUUGCCUAAAAUAUCACUCAAGCCCGGACCUGCUGACUCGGGAGCGUAAGUGCUGACCUGCUCCCAGGCACUGCCUGCCCCAUCAAACUACAUCACGAAGUGACUUCAGCUUCCUAUUCUUAGACACUUGGACUUUUUUUUUCUGGAUUUUCACUCUUAUCAGUAGUAUGUGAUAAAUAUUCUUAAACAAAGAUCUUUGCCUACAUUGUGCUCACUUUUGGGGGAUAAAUUCCUUGAAAUGGACAGCCCAGUGUUUGGGGCUUUCCUUACAGAGCUGAGGAGACGCAGAGGACUAGCUGAGGAGACGCAGAGCCUAGUUGGAGGCUCGGAGGCCCGAGGGAGAGGCAGGAAGCCCUGGAGGGGAUGGGCCCAGCUGGAAGGCUGGGAUGCCUGACUAAUCCACAGACCAUGCACACACUGCUUUGGUUUAUCUGAGGCCUGGCUUCCCGUGCUCCUGCAGCUCACCCUGGAACCCCCAGGAAUUCAGUUUAUUUCCAUCCUGGUUUUGCUGACUUUGCUGAAGUCUCUGCUCAGUGGAUCAGCUGCGAAACACAGUCACACACACACACACACGCACGCACACACAGCCCUCCAGGAAUCGGGCAGGAGGGAGACACUCGUGGGGACGAGGCCAAAGAACCUAUGAAAAGUGGGCAACCCGAAUUUACACAGAAAAAAAAUUCCCCAGAAAAAGCUGUUCGCCAGAUUUACAUAAAUCAUUUCAUCUCUAAACUGAGCUGGGUUAGUUGAACCUUUUCGUAAUGGCUUUAUUGUUUUUGAAAAAAAAAUUACGUGUUCAUUGUUUUUAAAAAUUCCUCACGAUAGAUACAAAUACAUUUGAAGAUAUAAAAGCAUUUUCAUAUUCUCCUUUCAGACUGGCUGUAUAUAAAACAGCUUUUCAAGCGCUUGCUAAAAUGCAUAUUCUGAUUCAGGAGUCCUGGGCUGGGCCUGAGAGUCUGCAUUUCUAACCUGCUCCCAGGGGAGGCCAGUGCUGCUGGGCCAUGGCCAAGACUGUGGGCCUGGAGGAGCAUGAGAUAUGUGUGCUAAUACAGAGCCUUCUACCAUGGACCUGCCGCUCUCUGGUGACUGCUCAAAAUGUUAUGUCAGAGCUACAAGGGAUCAUCUGAUGAGAACUUCUGAAGAUAGUGGGGAAACUGAGGCUACUGGGGGAAUGAGACAAGCCCAAGGCCAGGGAGCUCGAGCCAGAGCAUGACAGAAGGCUUCAGAUUCCUUUUGUUUCUACAGAGCCCAGAGCUUAGUCAGCUUUGACUGUGGGACCAGCGAAGGCUCUGAGAAUGGCCGAAGGGAACUGUGGCCCCUGUAAGGAACGAGGCCAGCAGGCAGAGCACAGACCCCAUGCCAGGUACCAUCUGGACGCUUUGCAUACGUACACUCUCAGAAAAUCCCCACUGUGACCUUCGCGGUAGCAUUGUCCACUCCAUCUUACAUAGGGAAACUGAGGCUCAGAGAGCACAGUGGUCUGGGUCUGCCAGAGGUCACACAGCAGGUGAGUGAGGAACUGGCAUCAGGUGUGUGUGUAUGAGAGAGAAAGAGAGGGAGAGACCCAGCACUGCCUCCCAAAGUCCCCUUUCAACUCCUACCUUCAGGGUCUCUGCCUUACUGUGCUUGAACAAUGGUUCACUUCCCAUCAAGUGAAAACCGGUCUUAUUUGUAAGAAACUGUAGGAAAUAAAUGCAAGAAAGUCAUUCAAAUCUGGGUCGAUCUUAGCACCCUGCAGAGUGCUAGGCCUGCCCUCUUUGUUAAAAGGGGAGAUUAGCAAACGUUAGAGAGGUGUUGGGGACAGACUAGUACCACACUGAGGCUUUCCUCUGGAUGAAGGAGAAUAGUUUUGCAGUACAGGAGUUGGCCUUUGGCAGUGUCCCGGGUGGAUUCUAUCUUUCUUCCAUCUCCUGGGCCCACUACAGCACCCUGCUCUAUGCUGCCUUUCAGCCCUGAGCCCAGUGGCAGCAGUCAGGACUGGCUUUUGGGACUGGCACCUGGGCCGGGUUUGACAUCGUGGGAGGCCUAAGCCUAUGACAUCUCUACUUAAGUCCUUUGCUUCCCAGGGGGUCCAGGGGCCUGGGAGUCCAUGAGCAGGCAGCCUGGAGCCAGGACAUGCUCCCUCCCAAAAAGAUGACCCACCAGCCUGUUUGUCUAAUGUGACCACUUUGGAAAAAUUGUUUGUUCUCAUCCUGCUAAAAACAGCUUCAAAAUGACUCCUGUCUAGACUGUGCCAGGAUCGAUUAUCAGAUCCUUGACCUGAUCCAAACCACAGGGGGCAUAGUCAUUUGCUUUAAUGCAAUUAAAGCAAAAUAUAAUAAUGUAUCCAGGCCAGGGACCAGAACAAGUCUCCCUGGAAGGUGGGAGGAGAAAGCAGCUCUGGAUAAUUUCUUCUCAACUCCAAAGUUGCGAGUGUGGACUUUUCCUGCCUUCGUCUCCAAGGCAACCUUGGGCUUUGGACUCUCCCUUGUCCUGCUGAGUGCCACCAGGUGAGAGCAGCCUGGGGGGGAGUGGGGGUUGGAGGAAGCAGGCUUGGGGUGGUAUGUAGAGAGGAUACUGCAGAGCAGAGUCCAGGAGGAGUGAAGCCAGAGAAGGAAGGGAAAAUGAGAAAAAAGAUCACAGGAGAGGAGGAAAGAAAUGCAGCCAUCUCAGUAAUUCCCAGAUUCUUUGACAAACCCCCAGUCCCAGGGGAACAGGGUGAGCCUCGAAGGUCUUCCCAGAGGACAGCAGCAGGUGCAGUGAUCUCAAUUUCCAGAGGAAGUCACCAGGAAAAUGUUCUCAGCCACAAGAAGCAGGAAGAUCAAUCCCAAGGCCUUGGCCUUGCGGUCAGACAUGGCCUUGCUGGCCUCACAGCUCUGUCCAACAUCCCAGGUUCUGGAGAGGGGCGGGAUGACGGCUCACACCUUCGCCCCUGCCUGUUCAGACAUCUGUAGGGAAUUCUUCAGCCCUUACCACAUACACGCGGUCUGGGGGGACCUCCACACUCUGCCCGUAGGGCUGCCGUGACAAAGUCCCGCACGCUGGGUGGCUUCAACAGCAGAAGUUUAUUCUCUCACAGUUCUGGGGGCUGGGAAACCCAAAAUCAGUGUGUUUGUUGUGCAGGAAAGGUGUAUUCCAGGCCUCUCUGGUAGGCCUUCUCCCUGUCUGUUCACAUCGCGUUCCCUCUAUGCGUGUCUCUGUCCAAAUUACCCCUUGUAAUAAGGCCACCAGUCCUGGAUGGGAGCCCACCCUCAGGCUCUCAUUUUAACUCCCUUACUCCUGUGAGGACACUGUCUCCAAAUGCGGUCAUGUUCUGAGAUACUGGGGGUUGGGAUGUCAACGUAGGAAUUUGGGGGGUGGGGCACACAGUUCGACCCACAGCACAGUCCAUGGGGAGCUCCCCCUGCAGUCCUGGCAGGAGGAAGAGGAGGACGAGGCUCUGGUGAAGGCCAGCUCGCCCUAGCUCCACGACCUUGGGAAACCUAUCCAUCUUCCCGAGCCACCUCCCUGUGCGGUGGAAGCCGUAAUGCCGCCCCCACUGGGUGGAAACCUACAUGAGCUCCAAGUGCCUUUCUUCUCAUGUUUAUGUGAAUUACGCAGCUAGGAAGCAUCCUUGGAAAGCUUGUGUGCUCUCCCUUGCCACACUGAGGUUCCCUGAGAACUGAGAACGGCUUGGCACCCCAGAAAGUAUAGCCCUUAUACCUUUUCUGACUCCUUCCCCCUCCUCCUGCCGCUGCUCCUGCUUCCUGUUUGAUUGAUUCCCAAGGCUGUCCUUCUUUUAUUGUUAUUGGCUACCACUAAUUAAAAACUUAACUGUAUAGACGUGAGCCAAAUGCUUUACAA